AGAUCAAUUUAACCGUAACGCAGACACGUUCUCUUCACGUGCACAAGGUCGGUUGCUAUGGUAACCCGAUAGCAGCACUUUACAGCAUGUCGAACUGCUGUCG